CUCUCUAGAUCAAACUAAUAGUAAGCUAUUGGAUUGGUCCAAGCGUUUUCACAUUAUAUGUGGAACUGCUAGGGGGCUUCUCUACCUUCAUCAAGAUUCUAGAUUGAGGAUUAUACAUCGAGAUCUCAAAGCAAGUAAUGUGUUACUUGAUCAUGAUAUGAACCCAAAAAUUUCAGAUUUUGGCUUGGCUAGAACUUGUGGUGGAGACAAGACAGAAGGAAACACAAACAGAGUGGUUGGAACAUAGUAUGUCUUGUUUUUUCAUCUUUAUUAUUCAUUUCCACUGAUUAAUAAAAUUUAACUUUUUCUGAUUCUUUGAAGUGGUUAUAUGGCACCGGAAUAUGCUAGUGAUGGGCUAUUCUCAACAAAAUCCGAUGUCUUCAGCUUUGGCAUUUUGUUGCUAGAGAUAGUAAGUGGAAAAAAAAAUAGAGGAUUUUAUCAUUCAGACCACAGCCUUAACCUUAUUGGACAUGUAAGUAAAAUGCACACUCUUCUUAGAAAAUGAAUCAAGAAUUAUGUCACUUUAAUUUUGACUUAAAUUAGUUUAAACUGAUAAAUCAUAAAUGAUGAAAAAGUUUUGAUAUCUUUUAGGCAUGGAAGUUGUGGAACGAAGGCAUGCCUUUACAACUGAUCGAUGCUUGUUAUCAAGAAUCAUGCAAUCGCGCUGAAGUGAUACGAUGUGUCCACAUUAGCUUAUUGUGUGUGCAACAGCAUCCCGACGACAGGCCAAGCAUGCCAUCAGUGAUCUUGAUGUUGGGCAGUGAGAUUGUAUUGCCUCAGCCAAAGCAACCUGGUUUCUUGGCGAACAAGAAAUCAACAGAACCAGAUUCUUCAUCAAGCAUGCUUGAAUCAUCUUCUACUAACACAAUUACGAUCUCAGAGUUGGAGGGUCGAUAGAGAAGCUAUUAGUGAAACGUCUUAUGAGACACUUUCUGAAACUUAAAGAGUACAUUUUCAGUAAUAUUUCAAACUUGGAAUGAUUUAUUCACAGUUUUAACGCUCUUGUGAAUCUAGUACCAACGAUUAAUUUUACUAGUCGGAUUACAACUUAAUAAUUUUGUUACAACUUAUCUAUCCUGGAGUGGAUCCUAAUCCAUAUUUUUUAGUCUAAUUUAUCUGGAGGAAGAUGAAUAACCUUAUUAAAAGAUGUCAUAUCAAUAAAUAUUAAUAAAUCUUUAAAUUAUUUUGUCUUUCAUUAUGUUAACAAAUUGUUAAAUUUUCUAACUGACAUCCCAUGACGCCGACAUAAUUUGUGAUCAUCAAUUAAAUUUUUUGCAUCUAAUAAUUGGUAACACACUAAUCUUUCAAUGGAUGCUGAUAAAGCCAUUAAGGGGCCAUCAUCACCUUUGAGAGUUCGAAGAAAAUCUCAGCCUUUUUGGGUUUGCAAGACUUGAGUGAUGAUGAUCUCAAGUGUAUGUUGAAAGAAGGUGACUUUGAUUGUGAUAGAGCUCUUAAGCAGAUGGAGUUUUGUGUCUUGAUGCUUAAAUUGAGUCCUGAGGUGAUGAUGCUUCAAGGUUAUUGGUUGAAGAAGCUCUAGAACAAGAGUUCAGUGGUUGUCAUGGAUUUUCGGCCUUUUAUUUAUUUAUUUGUUUGUUCGUUUUAUUGAUGUUUCAAGAUUUUUUUUUAAUGAAAUAAAUUUUCUUAUGCAGAAGGAAAUGAGAAAUAUAGAUAACCAUUUGGAAUAUCUAUUUACUUGUUUUAUGGCAUAUACUAAGAAUGUAGAUAUGAAUUUGGCUUGAUAACUUAGCAACAGCUACAAAAGUUUUUGUCAAUUUGGUCCGAUUGCCAUCCAAUUUAAGAGAGUUGGGGAUCAAGUCUUGCUCAGUUGUCUCAAGACUUUACUAUUUGGUUACCAAAUUUAAUCAAUCAUGGCUCUCCAAACUUUGAAUAGCCUAACGUAGCGAUUGAUCAGAGGACUUGGGUUUCUCGGUUUAAGCCUGGAUGUUCUCAAGUGGUGGAAGCCCAACAUGCGGGCUCCCAAAUUAGAUGAUCUAUCUAUACAGCCCCAUAUGCUUAAAAAAUCAAUCUUUUGCCUAAAAUUUUUUGUAAUUGGUGCCUCAUCAGCAAUCUAUGUUUCUGCUCCAAGUUACUGAUAUCUCAUAGAGAACAUUGUUGUCUGGAAAACUGUGGCAAAAGCUUGACACUGGAGCUGGAGGUGAGUUUUACUUGAGAUACAUUGUCUAAUCAAGCAAUGAGUUGUUGUAAACCUUGAUGACAGGCUAAAGAAAUAUUAAAAUGCAAAAACUUUACCGUAGGAAAGUUCUUGUAAAAGUGACGGUCCCCUCUGGUAGCUAUUAGAAAUUUCAAAUGUCCAAAUCUUUUGAGGGCCCUGUGAUGGAAUCGGCUUCAAGACCUGCUGAAUUUUCUGGAUUCCAAGGGUAUGUUUGGGAUUGCUUUUGGCUUUAAAAUUUUUGGGUUGAUUCAUAAUUUUGGGUUAGAUUUUGUGUAAAGAUAUAUAUAUAUAUAUAUAUUUUGCCCCUGUGACAUCAUCAUGACAUCUGUAUUUGACUAGUCGUUCUAACCAAAAAAAUAAUAAAAAUUAAACUACAACAAAAACACUUUAAUAAUUUAUGUAGUGGUUUGUGUUACUUCAUCAUAGUUGAAGACUUGAAGUAGUGAGAUAAUAAAUAAAUAAAUAAUAGCUCCAAAAAAAAAAAAUUAAAUAAUGUAUUGCGUGUUCAAACCGCCUUCAGUAUAACAUUUGGCCCCAAAACUAAUAAAACUAAUAGAAAUUGUAAAGAAUAAAUAAUAGCAUAACAUUUAGCCCCUACCGUUUGUAGGCUGUUCUGUUGACUGUUUGUUGGCCGAUGAAAAGACAAGGAUACCCCUCGCGCUCAAAUCAAGAACCGAAUUUACUAUUUCGACUGCUGUAAUCUGCUUUAGCGCCAAAGGGUAGAGUACUUGCCAAAUGACAAAACGCCAUUGACAAAACAAUGACAUUACUGAAUCAUUAAAAAAUAAUAAUAAUAAAUUAAAUACAACUCUAUUCCUCUUAUGACCAUAAAUUGUUACAUUUGUAAGCAAAAAAUAAACAAAUAGAUAGAUGAAAAAAAAAAAAAAACACAUUUCCCAUUUCUUUCACUUGCUUCUCAAGCCAUACACACUCUUUCAUCAAUUAAUCACAGCUCAACUUUUAAUUGAAUUUCAAACAUUGGAAUCAAACCAUGGAUUCACAAAGGUCAAAAUAGGGGAGUGUUUGGAAUUGAGAUGAUGUAGCUUCUAAGUUAUAGUUGUUGUGGAAAAAAAACUGUAACUAUAAAACAAAAGUUAGUAAUAUAUAGUAAAUGUGAAUUUUAAAUAAUAAUUUUGAUAAAAUUAUUAAAAAUAUAAUAAAUUUUCCAUUAUACAAGUGAAAAAUCAUAUUAAUAUAGCUCUCAAGCUACUGCUCUAAAGUGUUUGGUUUACAGCAACUAGUGUUUACCAAACACUUUAGAGCUGUAGCUGUCCAACCUCAAUCCCAAACGCACCAUAUAUCAAGCAAAUCAACAACAAUUUUAUGCACCAUGUUGAAAGUUUUCUCAUCUAGGACUGGCAAGCACCAGAAUGGCUGGAUCAUCAACAACAAUUUAUGAGCCACUGUGUCUCGGUUUCACUGAAUUGCUGGAUGAUUAGCUUGGUCUUGAAGCUGAAAUUUUCACCUAGAACUGAGAAAAUAGUUAAAUGAAAUAAUAUGACAUACAAUAAAGUCAACAAAAUAAAAGGACAAAUAAACUUAUUUAGUAAUGUCGCAAUUAUAUUUAUUGCCAUGCUAUCACUUUCAUUGCAGACAUCAUCACCAUAAUACUAGCAGUCUAGCACUAAUAGUCAGAAUAAUAAUAAUAAUAGUAGUAGCACAAUUUUUGAAAUUUCUGUAGAGUAAGAUCUAAAGAUGCCAAAAAUAUCAUAUGAAAAAAAAAAAGGUCCAAGAAUUCAAGGAAAGAAAACUCAUUAACAAAGAACCUAACUUUUUAAUCAUGUUUAAUAAACUAAGUUCUUAUGAUUUUCCAUUAUUAAGACAAUUGGUUUCUGCUUUCUAAUGUUUCAAAGCAUACCAAGAAAUAUUAACAAUUACCAAAUCAGUAAGCAGCACAAUUACUUGAUAAGACUUUUGACUUGUCUAACCCAAAAUUGUACCCAAUUCUACACUCUACUAUGAAGCUUAUGAAGCCGAACUUACUUUGACCAAACAACACUAUUAGCUCAGUUAAAGGAAACCACAACUGAACAAAGAUCAGAUGAAAUAACUAAAUUGAAAAAAGUUCAUAAAACUAAAAAUAACUUAUAUUAGUCUAUUAAAGACAUACAAAACAGGAAGAUAAAUAAACAUAGGUCUAUUUUCUUGACACUGCCAAGUUUUGGUUUCAAAAUCACCAUAUUGCAAUAAUAAAUUGUUGUGAUUCCUAAGAUACAAUAUGUAGCAGCUUAUAUGCUGGCAAUCAUAGUCAAAGAAGAUGGUUGUCAAACGUCCUCGCAAAUCAAGAAGCUAAUAAAGACCAGGUCGCACAACAUUACCAUAUAUCAGUUCUUUGAUAUAAAGAUAUUGAAUGUUAUACACUUCUAAUCCCAAGUCCUGAAACAUAAAACAAAAGUUCACUUCACACAUUCAUAAAGCUAAAGUACUAGAGAAAUGGAGAAUAGGCAUGGAUAUGGGUCAAUAAACUAUUAAGCUAAUUAAUGCACACGACGGCAUCUGUUAGAACUAGUUAAAUAGCCCUUACCAGAGAACUAGCAGAAGCAUCCAAUUUCCUAAAAGGAGAUAACUUACAACAUAAACAUUUUGAUAGGCAGCGAUACACAUAAAAUAGCAUCACUUACCAUUAAGCAAUAUGCUAGUAUUAACUUACGAGAUAACAACUGAUGAUUGAUUCAGUUGCACUUACAUAUGCCUAAAGUUUUAACUUUCAAAUUGAUUGCUGCUUGCUCCUUUAUCUAGAAACAUAUUUGACGGUGAUUAAUCCUGACCUCUACCAUGCCAUUCAAUUUUCAUAUUCUCAUAAUCAUAAAUUCACUUUUAGGAAUAUCAACUCCACUAUUAAGAGCCCAAACUUGAUCAAACAGAACUAUUAGCUCAUAACUUCAUCAAUUGGAUAAAUAAAGUCACAAUAACAAUGCCAGCAGCUGCUUCAACACAUCAUCAACAAACCCAUUUUCAUUUAAUCAACAAAAAUCCCCGACAGCAUUUUCAACACAUCAACAAACCCAUUUUCAUUUUAAUUGAUAAAACAACGCCAGCAGCAGAGCAACUUCAUCAAAACAUCAACAAACCCAUUUUCAUUUUAAUCCACAAACAACACCAGCAACAGAACAUAUUCUUCGACACAUUAACAAACCCAUUUUCAUUUUUAAAUAACAAAACAAAAUAAUGCCCAAUCACUGAUUUCCAACAUGCAAAGAGUUUUUUUUUUUUUUCAAAGACUAACCUUCUACGCUAUUGAGCGACGGUCGCCUCUAGCCCCGACCGCAGGCGGCACUCAGUCGACGCCGUCACCCUUGAUUAUCACCUUACGGUUGAUUUCUUUAUCUUCAAAGCAUUUAGAGGUGGAUAUGUUUUUGUGUUUCGGUUAGAUGAAGGAGAAUUGUUUUUGUGAUGAAUAGAUUUGAUGAAAGAGAAGAAACACUCUCAAAUCUGCUGGAUAUAUUAUGUAGCGAUAGAUGCAUUGGAUAAUAACUUGUAGCCUCAGCAUUUUAUUUUUUAAAAUUUAAUUUUUGGAAUAUAAAUGUGUACUACGAUUCUACGAAUUUACCCUCAUCCAUUAACGAUAAAUGAAACGGUAUACAGACUGUAGGGGAGGAAAGUGAAGAUACAUUGAUAAUUUCUAUCAAGUGGAAAUACGCUAAACCUUAGGGGAUACAACUGCAAAUUACCCUUUUUCAUGGUACCUCAUAAUUAGUGGAAAACAAAACAAAUAUACAAAAACAGAUAAACUUCAAAUCAUUUUCCCGUGAUACUCAAUAAUAUAAUUCAACUGCCUCAAGCUCUGACAUUAACAAUCCUUCAGGAGUAUCAUUUUGAUGCACCUUGCUAAAUUACAUAAAAUAUAUCAUUCAACGAAUCACUAGGAAACCACUUGUUAGUUGUGAUGUAUGUAACCUAACCACACCCCAUUUUAACGUACUUUCGUCUGCAAUGUAAGAUAGAAAGAUUCCAAUAAAAAAUUUGAUUCUUGUCCGAACAUAACUACGAUGUGCACAAAGUCUGUGUUGCUACAAGAACGAUUUUAAUGGAGGACAAAUUAUUUUUCUUACAUUUACAUUAUCUUCGGUGGGACUCCACUUGUAAUCGAAGAUUUUGUUCUGUGUCUCAUUUACCAGGUGUUUAGGUUGCCAUUUUCUGUUUUCUUUCUCAAAAACUUAUUUUCUAACCAUUGAUUUGGUUACCUUAUGAACCGACGGUUUCCCUUUUCUUUAUAUAUAUAUAUAUAGGUUGCUGUCGUGGUCAAAUGAAAGAUCGUGUAAUAUUGCUUUGCCUCCAAGAUUUUAUUAUAAUAAUCCUGUUCAUAUGUUCAUAGAAGUUUCAGGUACAGGUCAUCGUUUUUCAAGGUCCCAUCACUUCACAACAUUGAAUAAUUACUUCUAAAGGAAAUUUGAGCCUAUGCAGGCAGAACAAGCCAACUUCGGCUGCAGGUAUUGGCCUGAAGGUCAGCAUAAACUAAUUUAAAUAAGCCAAGAUAGAUCAUUAAUUAGGGUGUUUAUAUGUAUUUAACUUGUGAGCGAGAUCUAAAUCUAAAUAGUAGAAACCAAUGGAUGCACUUUCGCUCUUGUUAAUCUGUUGCAAGUUACUGCUUAUCUUUUCUGAAUUCUCAUUUGCAUCAGAUGUCCUUACUUCGUCUCAGUCUCUUAGUGAUGGAAACACCUUAAUAUCAAAAGGUGGAAGCUUUGAGCUUGGUUUCUUCAGUCCCGGUAGUUCCAAGAAUCGUUAUGUGGGAAUUUUGUACAAAAGUAUACCAGUUAAAACAGUUGUUUGGGUUGCAAACCGCCUCAAACCCAUCAAGGACUCUUCUGGCUUGUUAAUGAUAAACAGGACAGGCAAUCCUGUUUUAACAAGCCCGAGCAUGGGCAUAGUUUGGUCAGCGAGCUUGAGCAAAGAGGUGAGUUCUCCUCUGGUAUUACAGCUACUGGAUUCAGGAAAUCUUAUCCUCAGAGGUGAACAAGAUGGUGAUUCUGAAAAUUAUUUUUGGCAAAGCUUUGAUUAUCCUUCUGAUACAUUGCUACCAGGAAUGAAGGUCGGAUGGGAUUUAAAGACAGGUCUUGAGCGGCGCUUGACAUCAUGGAAGAGCUCAAAUGACCCGUCUCCUGGAGACCUUAUUUUGAAAAUUGAACGACAAGGAUAUCCCUAUCUAGUGAUGUGGAAGGGAUCAACAAAGUUCUAUAGGACCGGCCCAUGGAAUGGCGUUACAUUCAGUGCUUCAUCACUAAAGCCUAACUCAAUCUUUAACGUCAGCUUUGUAUUUAAUGAGGAUGAGCUCUACUACACAUUCAACCUCAUAGAUAAAGCUGUUUUCUCAAGGACUGUUGUGAACCAAACACUCUCUUUACGUCAACGAUUCGUGUGGAGUAAAGCAACUCAAAGUUGGGAGCUGUAUUCAAAUUUGCCAAGAGAUCAGUGUGACACCUACAAUCUCUGUGGUGCCUACGGCAUUUGCAGCAUUAGCAAAUCGCCUAUUUGCCAAUGUUUAAUAGGUUUCAAACCUAAAUCAGAGGGUUAUGUGGAACGGUCUCAAGGGUGCGUACGUACUAAGCCGUUAAACUACUCUCGACGUGAUGGUUUUGUCAAAUUUAAUGAUCUGAAAUUGCCAGAUUCUACUUCCUCUUGGGUUAGCAAAAGUAUGAAUCUCAAUGAAUGCCGGGAGAAAUGCUUAGACAACUCUUCUUGUAUGGCAUACACAAAUUCAGAUAUCAGAGGAGAAGGCAGUGGCUGUGCCAUGUGGUUUGGUGAUCUGAUUGACAUCAGAUACUUCCAAGAUGGUGGGCAGGACUUGUAUAUUCGAAUGUCUGCUUCAGAGCUAGGUAUCCGUAUACUUCUUUAUGUCAUUCCAUUAUGAGAACUUAGGAGUACCACUCCAGUUAGACUAGUUCCACAUUUUUAUUGUGCAAUUUAGUAUUGAGUUCUGAUUGAGAAGCUCCUUUCGCAUAAAGCAGUUUCUGGGUAUAGCUUCUAUGCAUGGAAUUUUCCUGCUAUUUGAAUCCUUUUUUCUUAGCUAUAUGAUUAUUGACUUGCUUUGCUAUAUCUGAAUACGCUGAUCAAGAAGCGAAAGGUGAGCCUACGACAAAGAUAGUGGUGAUAGUCAUUUCUAGUGCUGCUCUGCUAGCAGUGCUGCUUAUAGCUGGCUACUUGAUUCGCAAACGCAGGAGAAAUAUAGCAGGUAUAAUAGCACUCCAUUUUCCUUCACAAAUUUAUAGCCAUUUGCUUGCAUUUUUAUGAUAGCCGUUUCCUUUCAAUCAAUAUUUAUAUGAGUCCAAUUUUUCUGUAUCAAAUCUUCAAUAAAAUCUUUCACCAAGUAGAAUAAGUUUUUAUAUGCAGCAAUAACUGUACGUUUGUUUCAAGAUGAAGAGUUAACAUUGCAUAUCAUUUAGAUCAGGGGCAAGGUAAUUAAACUUGUAAAUUUUUGGUUGGAAUAGCAGUUUUACAUACUUGCAUUUAGUGUUAUAUUAAUACACGCUUCUUUUUCACCUAUGGUUCUCUAUUUACUUGCACUUUCAUAUUGACUGGAAAAUAGCUUUAAUACAAAUUUACAGAUAAAGAACCUUCUCAUCAGGAAGAUGAAAAUUGUAGUUACUAGUUAGUAGUUUGUCCAGUAUACGUACUGCAUAUGCGCUUUCAGCUAAUAUUGUCCAAUAUUUCAGAGAAAACAGAAAACGAUCAGAUUCAAAACAUAGACCUGGAGCUACCAUUGUUUGAGUUAGCUACAAUUGUUAGUGCCACCAAUAACUUUUCAAUCAACAAGAAGCUUGGACAAGGUGGCUUUGGACCCGUUUACAAGGUAAACUUGAAACUUGCUAGUCAAAAAUACUUAUUUUAAUUGGUAACUAAAUUCACAUAUAUGUCUUGCCAGGGCAAGCUAGUGGAUGGACAGGAAAUUGCUGUGAAGAGGCUUUCGAAGAUUUCUGAGCAAGGAUUGAAGGAGUUGAAGAAUGAGGUUAUACUGUUUUCCAAAUUACAGCACAGAAAUCUCGUAAAGCUUCUUGGCUGCUGCAUUCAAGGAGAGGAGAAAUUGUUGAUUUAUGAAUUCAUGCCGAACAAAAGCCUGGACUCUUUCAUUUUUGGUCUGGAUCCCUCUAAACCUUAAAAUAUUCGGCUAGCUUGUGCCUUGAUUAUAGACGUUUCUUAUGUAUUUUCAGAAAAUUUUGCACUAACCUUAGUGUGGUAAUUUGUAGAUCAAGAAAGAUGUAUGAUAUUGGAUUGGUCCAAGCGUUUCCACAUUAUUUGUGGGACUGCUAGGGGCCUUCUGUACCUUCAUCAAGAUUCUAGAUUGAGGAUUAUACAUCGAGACCUCAAAGCAAGUAAUGUGCUACUCGAUCAAGAUAUGAACCCAAAAAUUUCAGAUUUUGGUUUGGCUAGAGCUUUUGGUGGAGACGAGACAGAAGGAAACACAAACAGAGUGGUUGGAACAUA
rnacentral:lncRNA from 1 species